rnacentral:rRNA from 1 species
UACGUAGGGGGCAAGCGUUGUCCGGAAUCAUUGGGCGUAAAGAGCGUGUAGGCGGCCCGAUAAGUCCGCUGUGAAAGUCCAGGGCUCAACCCUGGGAUGCCGGUGGAUACUGUCGGGCUCGAGUCCGGAAGAGGAGUGUGGAAUUCCUGGUGUAGCGGUGAAGUGCGCAGAUAUCAGGAGGAACACCAAUGGCGAAGGCAGCACUCUGGGACGUGACUGACGCUGAGACGCGAAAGCGUGGGGAGCAAACAGG